UACGGAGGGUGCGAGCGUUGUCCGGAAUCAUUGGGCGUAAAGGGCGCGUAGGUGGCCCGGUCAGUUCGUGGUGAAAGCGCGGGGCUCAACUCCGCGUCGGCCAUGAAUACUGCUGGGCUGGAGCACUGUAGAGGCAGGCGGAAUUCCGGGUGUAGCGGUGGAAUGCGUAGAGAUCCGGAAGAACACCGGUGGCGAAGGCGGCCUGCUGGGCAGUGGCUGACACUGAGACGCGAAAGCGUGGGGAGCGAACAGG
rnacentral:rRNA from 1 species